rnacentral:rRNA from 1 species
AUUGAACGCUGGCGGCAUGCCUUACACAUGCAAGUCGAACGGCAGCAUGAUCUAGCUUGCUAGAUUGAUGGCGAGUGGCGAACGGGUGAGUAAUACAUCGGAACGUGCCCUGUAGUGGGGGAUAACUAGUCGAAAGAUUAGCUAAUACCGCAUACGACCUGAGGGUGAAAGUGGGGGACCGCAAGGCCUCAUGCUAUAGGAGCGGCCGAUGUCUGAUUAGCUAGUUGGUGAGGUAAAGGCUCACCAAGGCGACGAUCAGUAGCUGGUCUGAGAGGACGAUCAGCCACACUGGGACUGAGACACGGCCCAGACUCCUACGGGAGGCAGCAGUGGGGAAUUUUGGACAAUGGGCGAAAGCCUGAUCCAGCAAUGCCGCGUGCGUGAAGAAGGCCUUCGGGUUGUAAAGCACUUUUGUCCGGAAAGAAAUGGCUCUGGUUAAUACCUGGGGUCGAUGACGGUACCGGAAGAAUAAGGACCGGCUAACUACGUG